GCGGAUAAUAUACAGUGAUUUCGCCUCCCUCGAUCGCGCCGUCCAUUCAAACAAAAUAUGACGAAAAGCUUGGAUUGGCUGAAAAACCCUGCGAGCAAAUGGGUGGGAUUUGCUCAAAUGCUUCAAACCCAAAAAAAUUUCCCUUUACCCCUCAUCCCGCUUCCUCUCCUCUACUCUCUCGUUCGCUCUCUUCUCUCCUCUGCUCUGCCAAGCUAGGGUUGCAAAACCCCUCCUCUUGCAACAGACGAAACCACCAGUAGCAUCAUAUAUAUCAGAGCUCUCUACUGAAAGCACGAGCAGUUCCAAAUGCAGAAGUUUUUGGAGCAUCCAAAAUUCCAACUUCAGAAGCGGAUCCUCUACUAGCAUAUCAAGUAGUUGAUUGAGAUCGGGAUUAGGUGAAUAUGAAUAGCCCGACCCAGUGGUUUCAGUUAGUUAUAGACCCCUUACCUUCGCUAUGCUCAGGUCGAUUGCUCACUGCAUUUCCUGUCACCGUCUAUUCACAAAUACUCAAUACCCAAUUGUGCUUUCAGUUUCAGUAACAAAAUAAUGGUGGGGAGUCCAAGGCUCAAUCCUAGACGUGAGGAUAAAUUACUUGCUUUUUGCUUUUUUCUAUUAUUUCUUCUAUUUAUUCAUCAUUAUAUUAUUCAUUUUCUGAUGGGUGUUUGAGUUUUUCAGUGUUGAUAUAUCGGUAUUGUUUGCUAAUUGGCAGCACUUUCUCUCUCCGAGUUUCAUUAUUUCUUCUGUUUAUUUGUCAUGACUUGCAGUUCUUUUCUUAUUGAUGUAUGUGUUCUUCCUUGUUGAUAUUUGGGUAUGGAAUUCUGUUGCUUUCAUUGGUCAUUACAUACUGGUGUUAUUUUCUUUAAUGGGGUGUUGAUUUCUCGAUGGUAUUUAUGAAAACUGUAAAUUUCAUUUGAGAAUAGAGGAAACUUUUUUAGUUCUUGUAAAUAAAAGUUUUUAGCUCCCUUCUCUUCUUUUAUUGCUCUUUUUUUUUUUUUGAUGUAGUAGAACAAAAAUUUGGAUUGUUUUUUUUUUUCUUUUGCAGGUCGAUUGCACUUAUUUUUUUUUUGGUACCUUUGCUAAUAUUAGGAAUUAAUGCGCAAAAAAUAUUUAAAGAAAUCAUGUUUUGUAAUUUGAUGUGGUGUGGAAUGUUUGUGAUUUUGAGAUUUACCCCAAGACAUUGAGUUAUUUAUGUUGAGGGCUUUUGAAUUUGUACCAGGUGAAAAUAUGGGCAAAUGGCCUGGUUCUUCCUGCUUUUUUUGUUUUCUUGGUAGUGGCCCAGUUUUUCUUUCUUAGAGAAGUUUUAUAUGAUGAAGCGUGUUAAAUAAUUAUGGUUACUUGGUUGAUUACUAUAUGUUCUUGUUUUUUUUGUUUUAAAGUGUAUGAAUUGAAAGUUGGAGUUACCCAUUUGAGGAUUACCUUUUCAAUGCUAGUCAUUGCAUUUAAUAAACAAUGGUUCUCGUU